GACGAACGCUGGCGGCGUGCUUAACACAUGCAAGUCGAACGGAAAGGCCCUGCUUUUGUGGGGUGCUCGAGUGGCGAACGGGUGAGUAACACGUGAGUAACCUGCCCUUGACUUUGGGAUAACUUCAGGAAACUGGGGCUAAUACCGGAUAGGAGCUCCUGCUGCAUGGUGGGGGUUGGAAAGCUUCGGCGGUUGGGGGUGGAUUCGCGGCUUAUCAGCUUGUUGGUGGGGUAGUGGCUUACCAAGGCUUUGACGGGUAGCCGGCCUGAGAGGGUGACCGGCCACAUUGGGACUGAGAGACGGCCCAGACGCCAAUGGGAGGCAGCAGGGGGGAAUAUUGCACAAUGGGCGGAAGCCUGAUGCAGCAACGCCGCGUGCGGGAUGACGGCCUUCGGGUUGUAAACCGCUUUCGCCUGUGACGAAGCGUGAGUGACGGUAAUGGGUAAAGAAGCACCGGCUAACUACGUG
rnacentral:rRNA from 1 species